rnacentral:rRNA from 1 species
CAGAGGUCCCAAGCGUUGUUCGGAUUCACUGGGCGUAAAGGGUGCGUAGGUGGUGAGGUAAGUCGGAUGUGAAAUCUCCGGGCUCAACCCGGAAAUGGCAUUGGAAACUACCUUGCUAGAGGGUUUGAGGGGGGAUUGGAAUACUUGGUGUAGCAGUGAAAUGCGUAGAUAUCAAGUGGAACACCAGUGGCGAAGGCGAAUCCCUGGAAAAUACCUGACACUGAGGCACGAAAGCUAGGGGAGCAAACAGG